rnacentral:rRNA from 1 species
GUUUAAGCAGCCGCGGUAAUACAGAGGUCUCAACCGUUGUUCGGAUUCAUUGGGCGUAAAGGGUGCGUAGGCGGUCGUGCAAGUCGGAUGUGAAAUCUCAGGGCUCAACCCUGAAACUGCAUUCGAUACUGCGCGGCUAGAGUGCUGGAGGGGAGACUGGAAUUUACGGUGUAGCAGUGAAAUGCGUAGAUAUCGUAAGGAAGACCAGUGGCGAAGGCGAGUCUCUGGACAGCAACUGACGCUGAGGCACGAAGGCCAGGGGAGCAAACGGGAUUAGAAACCCUUGUAGUCC